UUGGAGAGUUUGAUCCUGGCUCAGGAUGAACGCUGGCGGCGUGCCUAAUACAUGCAAGUCGAGCGAACAGACGAGGAGCUUGCUCCUCUGACGUUAGCGGCGGACGGGUGAGUAACACGUGGAUAACCUACCUAUAAGACUGGGAUAACUUCGGGAAACCGGAGCUAAUACCGGAUAACAUGUUGAACCGCAUGGUUCAACAGUGAAAGACGGUCUUGCUGUCACUUAUAGAUGGAUCCGCGCCGCAUUAGCUAGUUGGUAAGGUAACGGCUUACCAAGGCAACGAUGCGUAGCCGACCUGAGAGGGUGAUCGGCCACACUGGAACUGAGACACGGUCCAGACUCCUACGGGAGGCAGCAGUAGGGAAUCUUCCGCAAUGGGCGAAAGCCUGACGGAGCAACGCCGCGUGAGUGAAGAAGGUCUUCGGAUCGUAAAACUCUGUUAUUAGGGAAGAACAAAUGUGUAAGUAACUAUGCACGUCUUGACGGUACCUAAUCAGAAAGCCACGGCUAACUACGUGCCAGCAGCCGCGUAAU
rnacentral:rRNA from 1 species